UACGUAGGCAGCGAGCGUUGUUCGGAGUUACUGGGCGUAAAGGGUGUGUAGGCGGUUGUUUUAAGUUUGGUGUGAAAUCUCCCGGCUCAACUGGGAGGGUGCGCCGAAUACUGAAUGACUUGGAGUGCGGGAGAGGAAAGUGGAAUUCCUGGUGUAGCGGUGAAAUGCGUAGAUAUCAGGAGGAACACCGGUGGUGUAGACGGCUUUCUGGACCGUAACUGACGCUGAGACACGAAAGCGUGGGGAGCAAACAGG
rnacentral:rRNA from 1 species